rnacentral:rRNA from 1 species
CAAUAGCGUAUAUUUAAGUUGUUGCAGUUAAAAAGCUCGUAGUUGGAUUUCGGUUAAGAGCGACCGGUCCGCCGUUUGGUGUGCACUGGUUGGUUUUAACUUCCUGUAGAGGACGUGCUCUGGGUUUAACGACCUGGACUCGGAGUCUACGUGGUUACUUUGAAAAAAUUAGAGUGUUCAAAGCGGGCUUACGCUUGAAUAUUUCAGCAUGGAAUAACACUAUAGGACUCCUGUCCUAUUUCGUUGGUCUCGGGACGGGAGUAAUGAUUAAGAGGAACAGUAGGGGGCAUUCGUAUUUCAUUGUCAGAGGUGAAAUUCUUGGAUUUAUGAAAGACGAACUUCUGCGAAAGCAUUUGCCAAGGAUGUUUUCAUUAA